AACGAACGCUGGCGGCAGGCUUAACACAUGCAAGUCGAGCGCAUCCUUCGGGGUGAGCGGCGGACGGGUGAGUAACGCGUGGGAACGUGCCCUCUUCUACGGAAUAGCCUCGGGAAACUGAGAGUAAUGCCGUAUACGCCCGCAAGGGGAAAGAUUUAUCGGAGGAGGAUCGGCCCGCGUUGGAUUAGGUAGUUGGUGGGGUAACGGCCCACCAAGCCGACGAUCCAUAGCUGGUUUGAGAGGAUGAUCAGCCACACUGGGACUGAGACACGGCCCAGACUCCUACGGGAGGCAGCAGUGGGGAAUCUUGGACAAUGGGGGCAACCCUGAUCCAGCCAUGCCGCGUGAUCGAUGAAGGCCUUAGGGUUGUAAAGAUCUUUCAGCUGGGAAGAUAAUGACGGUACCAGCAGAAGAAGCCCCGGCUAACUCCGUG
rnacentral:rRNA from 1 species